GUGAGAGGCAGGCGGGUGGGGGGGUGGGGGUGAAGGGAAGGUACAGGCGGGGUGGAUGGGCCCGGGGUGGGGGUGAAGGGAAGGUACAGGCAGGGUGGAUGGGCCCGGGGUGGGGGUGGAGUGGGGAUACUGCAGCUGAGAAGCCUCGUGACACCCGGCAGAGCUGGGGAUAUGAGAUAGGAUGGGUGGGGGCUCUGCCCUGCAUCGGCCCCUCCUUGCCUUCCUGCAACGCUUCUGGGAAUGGGUGCAGCCCCAGGACAGUGGGUGCAGGAGAGGCUGAGGCCAUGUAGCCCCAUCCUUGGAAGUGAGACGGGUGCUGGGGAACUGCCCACACUCUCUCCUUCUCCAGGAAGUCAGAGCACCUCUGGAUCCAUUCCCCUCCCUCAGUAGCCUCUCCCCUUGCCUGGCUGAGCCCUCUCAUGGGCAAGGGAACCAGCCUCGCCCCUGGCCUCCCUGCCUCCACUCUGCGGCUCCCAAGGGAGCCCUCAGAAGCACAGAUUGGGAGAGCUCACAGUUCCUGAGCUCACACUCCAUGCCAGACUCUCUCACAUCUGCUCGCGCCAGGGGUUAUUAGACCAGAUUGCCAACGAGGUUGCAGGGCCCAAUGACUUCCCCUCAAGUCACAUGGCUUGGGAGGGCAGAGCAGGGAUGAGUCCCUGGAGGCAACUCCAGAUCCAGUACUGUUACCGCGUGCUGGGUGGGUAGCGAGCGCUCUUGGUUGAGCCCUGCAGGCCAGCCACCCCAGGUCCCACUGCUGCAGCCCCUGACCAAUUCUCCCUGACAUGACGCAGACUGUCCAGGAACCCAGUUCCCUCUUCCCGUCCCCCGUCCUCCCGAGCCCACUCACCCUGCUGGUGGACCCUGCUCUCCAGCCUUUGCCUGAGCCAUUUCCUCCCUCUCCAUGCUGCCUCCUCCAUUUCACAAUUCUGGACUGAAGACCCCGCCCAAAUGCCAGCUCAUUCAGGCACGCAGAAAAGACUUUUCGCUUGGAAUCCUUCCGAUGCAGAUGUGUGAAGACUCUGGUAGCCACAUCUCGAGGACUGAGCAUCUUCUAUUGAUUGGAAAAACACACACAGCACCAGUGAGUUUGCAGAGCACACGCCGCAUUUUUCAGGGUUUGGGCAGGCGGAAAGCCAGCCGCGGGGCCUCAGCGCCCCCUGGGAGCCAUAGCCGGUAGUGCGCCCUGACGGAGCAGAAGGAGCCCAGCAG
rnacentral:lncRNA from 1 species